AACGAACGCUUUCUUCCUUCCUAACACCUUCAAGUCGAACUAUACCUUCGGGUCUAGUGGCGCACGGGUGCGUAACGCCUGGGAACCUGCCCUUAGGUUCUCAAUCACUCCCCGAAAGGGGUGCUAAUACCGGAUAAUCUCUUCGGACCAAAGAUUUAUCGCCUUUGGAUGGGCCCGCGUGGGAUUGGCGGGUUGGUAGGGUAAAAGCCUACCAAGGAGACGAUCCAUAGCUGGUAUGAGAGGAUGAACAGCCCCCCUGGGACUGAGACACGGCCCAGACUCCUACGGGAGGCAGCAGUGGGGAAUAUUGGACAAGGGGCGAAAGCCUGAUCCAGCAAUGCCGCGUGAGUGAUGAAGGCGUUAGGGUUGUAAAGCUCUUUUACCCGGGAUGAUAAUGACAGUACCGGGAGAAUAAGCUAAGGCUAACUCCGUG
rnacentral:rRNA from 1 species